rnacentral:misc_RNA from 1 species
AACGCACUUUGCACCUCGUGGCUCCUGUCACGAGGUAUACUUGUUUGAGUAUCCGUAACCAUCUCACCCACCCUUCGGGGCUGGCGGUGGACGAUGAGAUUCGAGUGGCCCUCACCGGUGACUCGUCCCUCAAAAAACAUGGCCGCUACAUGGAAGGUCUCCGUUGGGACCUGGCAGACCAUUGGGAUAACAUCCUACAAUCGUCCUGUCAGUGUCAUAGCUUUGGCGUUGACCGACCAUGGCCACCCGGAUCAAGCAGACAGCCUCAGGCUGCCUUGUGCGAUCAUGAUAUGCAUGUCUCUCAUGCAUAUAAUAUCUGGAUCUCAAAUCAAGUAAGGAUACCCGCUGAACUUAA